rnacentral:rRNA from 1 species
AUUCCCGUUGAUCCUGCGGGAGAUUGCUGCUAUUGGGAUUCGACUAAGCCAUGCAAGUCUUCUCGUAAGAGAGGCAAAACGCUCAGUAACACGUCGUUAAUCUGCCCUUAGGUUGGGGAUAACCUCGGAAAACUGAGGAUAAUACCCAACAGGAGAAUUCAUCUGGAAUGAUUUUUCUCUUAAACUCGUGCCUAAGGAUGAGACGGCGGCGGAUUAGGCUGUUGGCGGGGUAAUGGCCCACCAAACCAUAGAUCCGUACGGGCCAUGAAAGUGGUAGCCCGGAGAAGGACACUGAGAUACUGGUCCUAGCCCUACGGGGUGCAGCAGGCGCGGAACCUCUACAAUGCACGCAAGUGUGAUAGGGGGAUCCCAAGUGCUUAUGCUUUGCAUAGGCUUUUGCUAAGAGUAAAAAUCUUGGCGAAUAAGUGGUGGGCAAGACUGGUGCCAGCCGCCGCGGUAACACCAGCGCCACAAGUAGCAAUCGGAUAUUGGGCCUAAAGCGUCCGUAGCCGGUUUAGCAAAUCCUUUGUGAAAUUGUCAAGCUUAACUUGACGAAUGGCAGAGGACACUACUAAACUCGAGACCGGGAGGGGUCAGAAGUAUUCAAGGGGGACCGGUAAAAUGGUAUAAUCCCUCGAAGACUACCAAUGGCGAAGGCAUCUGACCAGAACGGAUCUGACGGUGAGGGACGAAAGCUAGGGGAGCGAACCGGAUUAGAUAUCAAAAAUUAGCGAUUUUCGGAAUUAGCCAAAAAUCAUUGUGUUUGCAAAAAAAAUACUACAAUGAUAAGUAGAUAAUUCUUGUAUGUUAAUUUUUGACUAAUGACCCGAGUAGUCCUAGCUGUAAACGCUGCGAGUUAGGUGUUGCAUAUUCUACGGGAAUGUGCAGUGUCGAAAAGAAGUUGUUAAACUCGCCGCCUGGGAAGUACGGUCGCAAGACUGAAACUUAAAGGAAUUGGCGGGGGAGCACCACAAGGGGUGCGGCGUGCGGUUUAAUCUAACUCAACACAGAGAACCUCACUAGGUGCGACGGCAGAAUGAAAGUCAGUCUGAAGGGCUUACUUGACGAGCCGAGAGGUAGUGCAUGGCCGCCGUCAGCUCGUGCUGUGAAGUGUCCAGCUAAGCCUGGCAACGAGCGAGACCUGUAUCUAUAAUUGCUAACAACUGCAUGCAGGAUUGAGCACAUUAUAGAGACUGCCCUGGAAACAGGGAGGAAGGUGCAGGCUACGGUAGGUCUGUAUGCUCCGAAUCUCCUAGGCUACACGCGCGCAACAAUGGUAGGGACAAUGGGAUGCAACUCCGAAAGGAGAAGCUAAACCUCUAAACCCUAUCUCAGUCCAGAUUGAGGAUUGCAACUCAUCCUCAUGACGACGGAAUCCCUAGUAAUCAGAUUUAAUCAUAGUCUGGUGAAUAUGUCCCUGCUCCUUGCACACACCGCCCGUCAAGCCAACCGAGCAGGGUUUAGGUAAAAUUUGACUUUUUUGGUCAGAUUGAAUCUAAGCUCAGUGAGGUGGGCUAAGUCGUCACAAGGUAACCGUAGGGGAACCUGCGGUUGGAUCACCUCCU